CUCGAGGUAGGUGACGGCGUUCGUGGGCUGGCCGAGCGCGAGGUAGACGAGGCCGAGGUUGAUGUUGGUGUUGAGGUCGCGGGGGUUGAGCUGGAGGGCGCGGAGGUAGGCGGCGGCGGACUCCUGGAGGCGCUGGAGGAGCUGGUAGCAGAGGCCGAGAUAGUAGUGGUUGGGGAGGGUGUAGGGGUCGAGCUUGGUGAGGCGUUCGUA
rnacentral:misc_RNA from 1 species